rnacentral:lncRNA from 1 species
CUAUACCGAACCACAUGGCAUGGUGGCCGAGGCCCUUAGGCCAACAAACAACACACAACAUCCGGAAGCAAUACCUCUGACGUGGCCCAACUGUUUGGAGGUCGAAGUGCUCUAGCCGAGGUGGUCCACACUGAGGCCCAUAUGCCAAAGCCGAACUCCGGAACGAUUUUAGCAUCACUUCUUCCCAGAGAUCCGAUCUUACACAAGAAUCAUCUUUGAUUGAUUGAUGGGACACCCAUCAUAGAGUGCAAGUGUCUUAUAUUGUCAAAUAUAGAUGCGACUUUGCCGAUUAAUAAAUGUAUGGCAGGCUAGGUAGUUAAACGUGAUGCCUAGGAUUAGAUUAGUAAACUAACAAGAUGAGGCCACGUGUACUCCCAAUAGAAGGCCAUGAUUCAACUUGUAUUACUAUAAAUAUUCUCCCAUGCACUCCAUGUAAAGAGAAUGCAAGAUUCAAUACAAGAACAACACUCUUUCUUUCACUCUCUUGCAAAACAUAUGAGAUUACACACAAAU